CCGAGCCCCGCCUCCGCGAAGCGAUUCCAACCCAGCGACGCCCCAAGCCACGCCCCGAGCCCUCCGCCGCACGGGGGCGCCGCAAUGGAGGAGGAGAUGAUGGACGAGGACGUGUUCCUUGAGGAGGCCCUCCUCGAGGAGGCGGAGGAGGAGCUCCUCCUCCUCCGCGACGAGGCCCUCUCCUCGCGCCUCUCCAAGUGGAAGCGCCCGCCCCUCCCCGAAUCCUACCUCUCCCAAAGCAUCGUUUUCCAGCAGCUGGAGAUCGACUAUGUGAUAGGGGAAAGCCACAGGGAGCUGCUUCACAACUCGUCCGGUCCCGCUGCCAUUCUCAGAAUCUUCGGUGUCACCAGAGAAGGACAUAGUGUUUGCUGCAAUGUGCAUGGUUUCGAGCCCUAUUUCUACAUCAGCUGUCCUGCGGGAAUGGGCCCAGAUGACAUUGCGAGCUUCCACAAAAAUCUAGAGGCCAAGAUGAGAGAAUCAAAUAGGAGCAGUAAUGUGCCGAGGUUUGUAAAGCGAGUUGAGUUGGUGCAGAAGAAAAGCAUUAUGUAUUACCAGCCCCAACAGUCUCAGCCUUUCCUUAAGAUAGUAGUUGCUUUGCCAACAAUGGUCGCAAGCUGCCGCGGCAUCUUGGAGAGGGGCAUAAUGCUUGAAGGCCUUGGUUCGAGGAGCUUCAUUACAUACGAAAGCAACAUUCUGUUUGCACUCCGUUUCAUGAUUGACUGUAACAUAGUGGGCGCGAAUUGGAUUGAAGCACCCAUCGGGAAGUAUAAGAAGACAGAUAGGAGCAUGUCACAUUGCCAAUUGGAGAUAGAUUGCUUGUACUCUCAAUUGAUCAGUCAUGCCCCAGAAGGGGAGUGCUCUAAAUUAGCUCCAUUUCGCAUACUAAGCUUUGAUAUUGAGUGUGCUGGUCGUAAAGGACUCUUUCCUGAGCCAACCCAUGAUCCUGUGAUUCAGAUAGCCAACUUAGUCACUCUUCAAGGUGUUGAUAAGCCUUUUAUUCAAAAUGUCAUGACACUGAAAUCAUGUUCUCCUAUAGUUGGAGUUGAUGUGAUGUCAUUUGACACUGAAAGAGAUGUUUUUCUUGCUUGGAAGGAUUUCAUUCGGGAGGUUGACCCCGAUAUAAUAAUUGGAUACAAUAUCUGCAAAUUUGACCUUCCAUAUCUCCUUGAGAGAGCUGAAGCCCUAAAAAUAGCAGAAUUUCCAGUUCUUGGUCGCAUCAGAAACAGCAGGGUUCGCAUCCGUGAUACAACUUUCUCUUCAAGGCAAUAUGGUUUGCGUGAAAGUAAAGAAGUGACUAUAGAAGGAAGAGUGCAGUUUGAUUUACUUCAGGCUAUGCAGCGAGAUUACAAGCUGAGUUCUUAUUCUCUCAAUUCUGUUUCUGCACACUUCCUUGCAGAGCAAAAAGAGGAUGUUCACCAUUCAAUAAUAUCUGAUCUUCAAAAUGGCAACUCAGAGACAAGAAGACGGCUGGCUGUCUAUUGCUUGAAGGACGCUUAUCUUCCGCAACGUCUCCUAGACAAACUGAUGUUUAUUUACAACUAUGUGGAGAUGGCAAGAGUCACUGGUGUUCCUAUCUCAUUUCUGCUCUCCAGGGGUCAGAGUAUUAAGGUUCUUUCUCAGCUUCUCAGGAAGGCAAAGCAGAAAAACCUUGUACUACCAAAUGUUAAGGGGCAGGGAUCUGGACAAGAAACUUUUGAGGGUGCAACUGUUUUGGAAGCAAAGGCUGGAUUUUAUGAGAAGCCCAUUGCUACUUUGGACUUUGCUUCUUUGUACCCGUCUAUCAUGAUGGCAUACAAUUUAUGCUACUGCACUUUGGUGACACCAGAGGAUGCUCGCAGAUCAAACUUGCCAGCGGAAAGCAUCAAUAAAACUCCAUCUGGUGAAAUAUUUGUUAAACCAGAUUUGCAGAAGGGUAUACUACCAGAAAUUCUUGAAGAACUCUUAGCUGCUCGUAGAAGGGCAAAAGCAGAUCUUAAGGAAGCAAAAGAUCCGUUUGAAAAGGCUGUUCUAGAUGGUCGACAGCUGGCCUUAAAAAUAAGUGCAAACUCGGUCUAUGGUUUUACUGGAGCAACUGUUGCGCAAUUACCUUGUCUGGAGAUAUCUUCUAGUGUGACAAGCUAUGGCCGACAGAUGAUAGAGCACACAAAGAAGCUCGUGGAGGAGAAAUUCACAACCAUGGGAGGAUAUGAACAUAAUGCAGAGGUUGUAUAUGGAGACACUGACUCUGUGAUGGUACAAUUUGGUGUUCCAACUGUGGAGGCUGCAAUGAAGUUAGGAAGAGAGGCUGCAGACUAUAUUAGUGGAACAUUCACGAAGCCCAUUAAAUUAGAGUUUGAGAAGGUCUAUUAUCCAUUUCUACUAAUCAGCAAGAAGAGAUAUGCUGGCUUGUAUUGGACAAAUCCUGAGAAGUUUGACAAAAUGGACACCAAGGGCAUCGAGACAGUGAGAAGAGACAACUGUUUAUUGGUUAAGAACCUGGUAACUGAAUGCCUUAAUAAGAUAUUGAUCGACCGAGAUGUUCCUGGUGCUGUUCAAUAUGUCAAAAAUACAAUUUCUGAUCUUCUGAUGAACCGUAUGGACUUGUCUCUUUUAGUCAUUACGAAGGGCUUGACAAAAACAGGAGAUGAUUAUGCAGUAAAAGCUGCACAUGUUGAGCUUGCUGAACGGAUGCGAAAACGGGAUGCUGCUACUGCUCCAAAUGUUGGAGAUCGUGUUCCCUAUGUCAUAAUCAAAGCUGCAAAAGGUGCUAAGGCUUAUGAGAGAUCAGAAGAUCCAAUUUACGUUUUGGAGAAUAACAUCCCAAUAGAUCCUCAAUACUACCUUGAGAAUCAAAUAAGCAAGCCACUAUUGAGAAUAUUUGAGCCCAUUUUGAAGAAUGCUAGUAAAGAGCUGCUGCAUGGAAGUCACACUAGAGCUGUUUCUAUUUCAACUCCAUCAAAUAGUGGAAUAAUGAAAUUUGCUAAGAAGCAACUUACUUGCCUCGGAUGUAAAGCAGUAAUCAGCAAUGCAUCUCAAACUCUUUGCUCGCAUUGCAAAGGAAGGGAGGCUGAGCUAUAUUGCAAAACAGUAGCAAAUGUCGCUGAAUUGGAGUUGCUCUUUGGGAGGCUAUGGACCCAAUGCCAAGAAUGCCAAGGUUCUCUUCACCAGGAUGUUCUAUGCACCAGCCGUGAUUGCCCCAUCUUUUACCGAAGGAAGAAGGCACAAAAAGAUAUGGCGGAAGCUAAAUCGCAGCUGGAUCGAUGGGACUUUUGAGGCUCAAAGGUGUGCUUAAAAUAGCCUCGUUUAUUAUUCGGCGCAUGUUUCUUUCAUUGUGGAUUCGGUCCACAAAAAUCGAUUGCAGAUGCAAUUCGCGUACCGCAAUAUAAGAUCAUCAUGAAGACAAAUGAGAAAGAUUUUGUCGAGGGCUCAUGUCGCAUCAACAAUGCCCCAGGGCUUAAAAAGGAAAAAGAAAAACAAGAAAAACUAAAUGGGGUAAUGGUGAGACUAGCAGAUUUGGGAGUAAGUUGAGAGAUGAACAUGUUGAGGGAGGAGGGUAACUGUUGUAAAGUAAAUAGUAAUAGUAAUUGUGCUUGUUCUGUUUCUGCUGUGAGAUAAACAUGAACAAUUACACAACCAAUUUGUGAGGCUGUGUAAUUAUUCGGUAUCUUUGUGGGAAUUGCCUUGAUAUUUAUGCAAAUAUCCUUUGUAAGUUUGUGAAGGUCUAAAUGUGAUGUGAUAGGCUUUGAACUG